AGUGAACGCUGGCGGUAGGCCUAAUACAUGCAAGUCGAACGGAAGCACAGUAAGAGUUCGCCUUUACGGGUGGCGAGUGACGGAUGGGUGAGGCAUACAUCGCCUACCUCUUUUACGUGGGGGACAACGUGGGGCAACUUCUGCUAAUACCGCAUACGUCGUACGGGUGAAAGCAGGGGUUCUUGGGAGCUUUCGUGACUGUUUGAGACGACGUCGGAUUAGCUAGUUGGGUGGGUAAAGGCCCACCAAGGCAACGAUCCGUAGCUGAUCUGAGAGGAUGAUCGGCCACACUGGAACUGAGACACGGUCCAGACUCCUACGGGAGGCAGCAGUAGGGAAUAUUGCACAAUGGGCGAAAGCCUGAUCCAGCCAUGCCGCGUGAGUGAUGAAGGUCUUCGGAUUGUAAAGCCCUUUUAUUAGGAAAGAAAAGCAGCAGAUGAAUACCCCGCUGUUCUGACGGUACCCAAAGAGAAAGCACCGGCUAACUUCGUG
rnacentral:rRNA from 1 species